rnacentral:snoRNA from 1 species
UGGUCAUUACCAAGGCUUUUAGAAUGCAGUCUCUCAUUUGCUGUGGACAUGACCAUAAAGAAAAAUUCCCAUGAGGUUUUUCAUAUGCUACUAUCUGUUGGGAACAUUU